UCAAGCUGUAAAGGGCGCAAGGGGAAUGCCUUGGCACUGAGAGCCGACGAAGGACGCGACAAGCUGCGAUAAGCUACGGGGAGCCGCAAAUGGGCUUUGAUCCGUGGAUUUCCGAAUGGGGAAACCCGGCAGAGCAAUACUCUGUCAACGUACACUGAAUACAUAGGUGUGCGUGGGGAACCGCCUGAACUGAAACAUCUAAGUAGGGCGAGGAAGAGAAAUCAACCGAGAUUCCGCUAGUAGUGGCGAGCGAACGCGGAAGAGGCCAAACCGGAGGUAGCAAUAUUUCCGGGGUUAGGACUGCAAUAUGUAACUUUAAUCUUUAACUGAAUGCUUUGGGAAGAGCAGCAAUAUAGGGUGAUAGCCCCGUAAGUGAAAAGGAUUGAGUGCUAGCAGUAUCCAGAGUACCAGCGGACACGUGAAACCCGCUGGGAAGAUGGGGGGACCAUCCUCCAAGCCUAAAUACUACUCAGUGACCGAUAGUGGAGCAGUACCGUGAGGGAAAGGUGAAAAGUACCCCGGGAGGGGAGUGAAAAAGAACCUGAAACCUUGUGCCUACAAGCACCGAGAGUCCGUUAAUGGAUGAUCGGGUACUUUUUGUAGAACGGUCCGGCGAGUUAAUAUUUGCAGCGAGGUUAAGGAACUGGAGUUCCGGAGCCGCAGCGAGAGCGAGUCUGAAUAGGGCGUAUGAAGUUGCAGGUAUUAGACCCGAAACCGGGUGACCUAUCCAUGAGCAGGCUGAAGCGGUGGUAAGACACCGUGGAGGGCCGCACCCACGUCUGUUGAAAAAGCCGGGGAUGACUUGUGGAUAGCGGAGAAAUUCCAAUCGAACUCGGAGAUAGCUGGUUCUCCCCGAAAUAGCUUUAGGGCUAGCGUUAUUUUAGAUUACCGGAGGUAAAGCACUGAAUGGUCUAGGGGCCGCGAGGUUACCAAAGCCUAUCAAACUCUGAAUGCCGGAUAAUUGAUGAAUAGCAGUCAGACUGUGUGAGAUAAGUCUCAUAGUCAAAAGGGAAACAGCCCAGAUCUACAGCUAAGGUCCCAAAUGAACACUAAGUGGAAAAUGAUGUGAAACUGCGAAGACAACCAGGAUGUUGGCUUAGAAGCAGCCACUCAUUCAAAGAGUGCGUAAUAGCUCACUGGUCGAGUGGUUUUGCGCAGAAAAUGUAACGGGGCUAAGUGUUCAACCGAAGCUUAGGCAUUGUACUUUGUACAUUGGGUAGGGGAGCGUCGUAUGCGGGGCGAAGUCAGAGCGGAAGCACUGGUGGACUGCAUACGAGUGAGAAUGCCGGAAUAAGUAGCGAGAAUUAUGUGAGAAUCAUAAUGGCCGAAAAUCUAAGGUUUCUUGGGGAAGGUUCGUCCGCCCAAGGUUAGUCGGGAGCUAAGCUCAGGCCGAAAGGCGUAGGCGAUGCACAUACGGUAGAAAUUCCGUAACCACCGAACAUUUAAGCUAGAGGGACGCUUUCUUUAAGGUUAUCCCGGGCGAUGGUUGCCCCGGGCGUAAGGGACCGAAAUAUAGUAGGGAAGUAACUGGCGAGAGAGACGAGAAAAGCUCUAGUGUAUACUAAGGUGCCCGUACCGCAAACCGACACAGGUAGAUGGGAUGAGUAUUCUAAGGCCAACGGGAGAAGGGUUGUUAAGGAACUCGGCAAAUUGGCCCCGUAACUUCGGGAUAAGGGGCGCCUGCGAGAGCAGGCCGCAGUGAAAAGGCCCAAGCGACUGUUUAGCAAAAACACAGCUCUCUGCUAAAUCGAAAGAUGACGUAUAGGGGGUGACGCCUGCCCGGUGCUGGAAGGUUAAGGGGAGUGCUUAGCGCAAGCGAAGGUGCGAACUUAAGCCCCAGUAAACGGCGGCCGUAACUAUAACGGUCCUAAGGUAGCGAAAUUCCUUGUCAGGUAAGUUCUG
rnacentral:rRNA from 1 species